rnacentral:lncRNA from 10 species
UAACCAGCAGGUAUAUGUGCUCAUAGCUGCCAAAACUUCCCUGGAAUGCAAAGCAGAGCCAUGGACAACAGAUUGGGGAGGAAGUCAAGAAGGAGAUGUGACCUAUGUGAGACCAUGCUCUGGAGAAGAGAGACCGCAUCAACAGCCAGACAUCUUUACAUGAUGAACGGAUGGAUGUGUGAAAGGAAAAUAAAUCUUGGAGCCCCCAAAUCACUAAGCUAAAGGGAAAAGUCAAGCUGGGAACUGCUUAGGGCCAACCUGCCUCCCAUUCUACUCAAAGUCACCCCUCUGCUCACUGACACAGAUGCAUAUCUGAUUGCCUCCUUCGGAAAGGCGAAUCAGAAACUCAAAAGAAUGCAACCAUUUGUGCCUCACCUAUUUGUGACCUGUAAGCCUCCUCUCUGCUUCAAGUCUUCCUAGCUUUGCUUCAAGUUGUCCCGCCUUUCCAGACCGAAACAGUGUACUUCUUACAUAUGUUGUUUGAUGUCUCGUGUCUCCUUAAAAUGUAUAAAACUAAGCUGUGACUGAGCACCUUGGGCACAUGUUGUCAGGACUUCCUGAGGCUGUGUCACGGGCACAUCCUCAACUUUGGCAAAAUAAACUUUCUAAAUUAACUGAGAUCUGUCUCAGAAUUUCUGGGUUCAUAGAUUGACAGGGAAUUUUUUUUUUUUUUUUUUUUUUUUUGAGACAGGGUCUGGCUUUGUCACCCAGGCCAGAGUGCAGUGGUGCAAACUCAGCUCACUGCAACCCCUGUCUCCUUGGCUCAAGUCAUCCUCAGACCUCAGCCUCCUGAGUAGCUGGGACAGCAGACAUGUGCCACCACUCCCAGCUAAUUUUUUUUUGUAUUUUUUGUAGAGAUGGGGCUUCACCAUGUCACCCAGGCUGGUCUCCAACUCCUGAGCUCAAGCGAUCCGCCCACCUUGGCCUCUCAAAGUGCUGGGAUUACAGGUGUGAGUCACUGUGCCCGGCCAGCAUUUCAUUGUCUUUUAUGACAUUGCCAUUUUUGAAAAAACAAUCCCUUUUUUAAAAAAAAAACUAGAAUGUUCCUUAUUUUGAGUUUGUCUGAUACUUCCUCAUGAUUAGUUUCAGAGUAUGCAUUCUGGCCAGAAUAGCACAUUAGUGAUGUUGUCCUCAGGGAGUCACACCUAGAAGCAUAUAAUCUGUGUGUCAAAUGCCCCUUAUUUGUGAUGUCAAUUUUGAUCUGCUGGUCAAGGUAUUGUCUGAGUUGUUCAAAUGAUAGUAGUUUUUUUCUCUUAUUCCUAAUAAGCAAUCUAUGGGAAGAUAUCAUAAGGUCAUCCAAAUAUCCUGCUCCUCAUCAAAAAUUUAUCUCUAGAUUUAGCAUCUAUUGAUAAUUUUUGCCCAAAUGAAUCAAUAUUUACUGUGUUGGCAGAAAAAAAAUGAAGAUUUUCCAGUUCAAUUACUCUUUUCACAUUUACAAUUCAGCACUUGGCAUUCUUGCAUAAGCAAGACCUCUUCUUUCUUUACAUAUUUAUCUACAUGUUAUUAGCAUGGACUAAUGAAAUUACUAGGUUUUUUUGUUUGUUUGUUUGUUUUUUCCCAAUGGUUGGUGCUCAAAUUGUCCUAUAUUUGAUGAAUGGGAGCCCCUUCAAGCUGGCUCCUGUGUUCUCGUGUCAUGCCCUAUCAUUUUGAGCAGUUCCUUACUCUUUGACCUAAUAAGUUGCUUCAGGCUCACCUUGUACCUUUUCUGGCCCACCCAUUUCGUCCAAGAGCCUUUGAAGAAAGGCUCUUUACUAGGGAAUGGUGUCAGAAUCCAACAUCUGAGUUCUAAGUCCUAAUAAUGUUUUAAGGAUAGAUUCUUAGGAUUAUAAUUUUUUUUUUUUUUUGGUCACAGUAUAGUUUUGGAGAUUCUUUAUAUGUAUCACCAAACUGCUUCCUGGAAAUGUACUGAUUUAUUCUCCUACCUGCAGUGCAUAAGAACGCACUUCUCUUUCCAUGCUCACUAACAUUACCUUUUUCCUAACUUUUCAGGUAGAAAAGUAUAUAAUAAUUUUUGUUUCCUAGAUGAUGAUGAUGAUUAUUAUUAUUAUUAUUAUUUGAGACAGAGUCUCCCUCUGUCGCCCAGGCUGGAGUGCAGUAGCUCAAUCUCGGCUCACUGCAACUUCCGCCUCCCAGGCUCAAGUGACUUCCCCAGCUGAGCCUCCCAAGCUGGAAACGUAGGUGCCAUAACACCUUGUCUAAUUUUUGUAUUUUUUUGCAGAGACAAAAUUUCGCCAUGUUGCCCAGGCCAGUCUUGAGCUCCUGGACUCAGCUAUCUACCUGCCUUGGCCUCCCGAAUGUUUCCUAGAUUACUAAUAAGGUUUGUUCAUUUAUUACCUGUUUUCAUUAAAUUAUCUGUUCAGGCUGGGCGCAAUGGCUCACGCCUGUAAUGCCAGCACUUUGGGAGGCCAAGGCGGGUGGAUCUCCUGAGGUCGGGAGUUUGAGACCAGCCUGGCCAACAUGGUGAAACCCUGUCUCUAAUAAAAAUACAAAAAUUAGCCAGGCGUGGUAGCCUGCACCUGUAAUCCCAGCUACUCAGGUGGCUGAGACAGGAGAAUCACUUGAACUCGGGAGGUGGAGGUUGCAGUGAGCUGAGAUUACGCCACUGCAACUCCAGCCUGGGCACCACAGAUUGGGACUCAGUCUCAAACAAAAAUAAAUAAAUAAAUAAAUAAGUUAUCUGUUCAUAUUGUGCCUACUUUUAUCAGAGCUUACAGUUUUAUAUCUGUAUGAAGUGUUCUUAUAUUUGGGACAAUGAUUUUGCUAGCUUAUUUACAUUUAAAUUUUCUUUGUACUUUUACUUUACAUUCAAGUAUUUGAUGUUUAUAUUGAGUCAAAUCUGUCCAUCCUUUCCUUUGUGAUUUUUUUCCCAUUGCUGUAAUGCUUAGGGUAUAUUUUUAUAGAGCAAUAAUAAAUAUUUUAGUGUUAAUUAUAUUCUUGCUGCCCAAAUUAAAAAAGACUCUCUUUUUUUGUGGAAAAGAGUGGAGAAGGAAGAGUGUUG